AGGUAGGCUCUCUAGGAAUCUGGGAGUAGUAGCUGGGGGGCAAGAGCAAAUAAAGAGCUCGAGCUUCUGUGGUCUCUGGGGAGAUGUUCCCGGGAAGCCUGUCUAGAGGGCGGAGGGCAGCUGUUGAGAUGGCGUGGCUCCCCGGCUCCUGCGCCCGCGUGGCUUUCGCGGCGGGCGCUGCGGCCCGGUAUUGGACAGCCUGGCAGGGCAGCGCGGGGCCGAAUCCGGCUGCCGUGGCUGAGGCUCAUGGAUCACUCUUUUGUGGUAGGGCCACAUCUGCCAGAGCCUGGAGUCUGCGAAGGCCGGGACCCGGUUCCCCGGCCCACAGUGGGGGUGUGCAAACCCGAGAGAACUGGGUUGCAAAUUCGUGAAGAAUCAGCAUCAUGUUUGGCAGCUGAGUAUUGGAGCCAGGAGCCUGCCAUGAGGUUAUAUUCCCAGAGGAUGUCAGUCCCAAGGACCAGUAGCUGCCAUCAGUUUGGAUUCUGAAAACUAACUGGCAUCAACACUGGGUGUAGAAACAUGCUUGCCUUAUGUAUCAGAGGACAUGCUCAGCAGAUCCAAGAGAUAUAUUUGGCAACUUUUUCUAGAAAAGGCACAUUGGGUAUCAUUCAUUACAUUCUUGAGUUUUUUUGGGUUUUUUUUUUUUUUUUUGAGACAGUCUUGCUGUAUUGCCCAGGCUGGAGUGUGGUGGCACAAUCACAGCUCAUUGCAUCCUCAAUCACCCAGGCCUAAGCAAUCCUCCCACCUUGUAGCUGGGACUACAGCUCACAGCACACCUGGCUAAAAUUUUUUUUUUGUUGAGACGGAUUCUCUAUGUUGCCCAGGCUGGUCUCAGGCUCCUGGGCUCAGAUGGUCCUCCUGCCUCAGCUUCCAAA
rnacentral:lncRNA from 10 species